rnacentral:rRNA from 1 species
AUUGAACGCUGGCGGCAGGCCUAACACAUGCAAGUCGAGCGGAUGAAGCGAGCUUGCUCCUGGAUUCAGCGGCGGACGGGUGAGUAAUGCCUAGGAAUCUGCCUGGUAGUGGGGGAUAACGUCCGGAAACGGGCGCUAAUACCGCAUACGUCCUGAGGGAGAAAGUGGGGGAUCUUCGGACCUCACGCUAUCAGAUGAGCCUAGGUCGGAUUAGCUAGUUGGUGGGGUAAAGGCCUACCAAGGCGACGAUCCGUAACUGGUCUGAGAGGAUGAUCAGUCACACUGGAACUGAGACACGGUCCAGACUCCUACGGGAGGCAGCAGUGGGGAAUAUUGGACAAAGGGCGAAAGCCUGAUCCAGCCAUGCCGCGUGUGUGAAGAAGGUCUUCGGAUUGUAAAGCACUUUAAGUUGGGAGGAAGGGCAGUAAGUUAAUACCUUGCUGUUUUGACGUUACCAACAGAAUAAGCACCGGCUAACUUCGUG